ACAGGGGCAGAAAAUUUUCUUUGUUUUGUUGUUUCGAUUGCAGGCACCCACCUGGAGAACGAGGGAAUUCGUUUUGGAAUUAUUACAAGUUUCAAGUCAGUAGCAGGCGCCCACCUGGAGAAGGAGGGAAGUCAUUUCAGAAUUCAAUUCAAGUUAGAAGUAGCAGAAGCUCGCAGCAAGAAUGCGAGUCGACAGUCCGAGAUGACCAACAGAAGUAGUCUCAAUCCAGAAUAAAAAAAGUGAAUCCAAAAUGCAGAAGCAAAUAAAGAUGUGAACUGCUCAAGACGUGGCUGAGGUCACGAGCACUGCAUGUCCGAUCUUGAUCCGAAGAAGUCAUGGAAGAGUGAAUCAACACCUGCAACUAGCAAGCAUCAAGGUUCAAAUCAAAGUCUGCAUGAAGAACCAUUCAAGACUCAAGAUCAAGCUUAAGAAGAUUUAUAGAAAGGAAUCUUGUAACUCAUAUAUAGCUGACAGGCUUAGUUAGUCUUUUUCAUUUUUGAUUUUGUUGUAAACGGGACCGUGGACCGGAAUAUCGAUGGAACGGUACCUCACUCGACUCUCUCGUCCUCUCCACACACUCCAUCACUUCAUUCAUUUCUGAACUACACGUGACCUGAUUCCUUUAUAGUCAAGGAUAUGUAGGCAGCUUAGAUACCAGAGCUCGGUCACAAUCUUUUACCCAUCUUUCUUUUCUUUUGAAUAAGCGUCGAGUCAUAAAUCAAUUGCAUUGCUUAUUAUUCUUUGCUCCGAAAACUCUUCAUGUUUCCAAGCAAAAAGGGGCAGCUGUAAGCACGUAAUUUUUGACCCGCGUAUUUUUUUAAGUAUUCUUAUUAUUUUUACGCAUUUAUUUGAGUUAAUUUUAAUUUUCUAGAAUUUAAGUCCAUUUUAUAUUAAUUAAGACUUUUGAAAAAAAAUAUAAAAAAUAAAUAAUUAAAAGCACAAAAAUAGUUUUACUUUGUCUUAUUUUAUAUUUAAGUUGAGGUUAUUAAUUUUUAGAACAAGUAGAGUUUUGGGCUAGGAUUUUCAGAUUUAUCAAAAACCCAAGCAUAUUUAGCCCAAUUUUGAGCUACUUAAGCCCAAUCUUUCCAAACCCAUGACCCAUCAGUUUGACCUACAACCCUAUCUAUUGACCUGUCUCAUUUUUAUUUUUCAAUCUCAGCCAUAAAAUCCUUUAGAUCCAAGGGCCAUAAUUACUCCCCACACUCAUAUAUAAGCCAUAUUAUAACUAAAAUCCUAACCCUAUCUCUCACACACAAGAGCUGCCCACCGUAAGAAGUUAAGAGUCGCAGUAGACCCCUGAGCCACACACCCAUCGUCUCUUCGUUUGGACAAAAACAGAGAGAGCAGCAGCCAUUUCCCUUCUAAAAAUCUGAUGGGCAAGGACUAUUUUCCAAAAUCAAUAGAAAGAGAGACAAUAGCGGCACCCUAAGAGCUCUUAUUAGCCGUUGCCUUCUUCCAAACGACCCCAUUUACUUUCCUUCAUUCCCUUUAAGAAAGGACCCCUUUCCUCUCAAAACCUUGAACCAUAAAAACUACCCCAUUUUCUUAAUUAGGAAGAGCCAUAACAAACAAAGAACAGAGGGGAAACGUGAAUGGGAAUAAGGGAGGAACAAAUUUGGACAAAAACGAAAAGGGAUUAGGGGAACGAAAAUAGAUCUGGGCGAAACUAGAAAGAAAAGAAAAAUAGAGCUUCAUCUUCUACUUCUUAAAAGUCAUUUUUACCCGUUUUCUAUGUUGGCUAAAAACUCAGCAACUCUUGCCCUUUCCAUGGUUGCCGUUGCCGGAGGCGACGACCAUGACUGAAGCUGUUGUUGCCCUUCUCCUCUUCUCCUUCACCUUCUAUCUCUUUUGAAAAUACGGCAACCCUCCAUUGAACUAGCGAAACAUAGCUCAAACCCAGCAGUAAACCCAGCUCCAAAAUGCCCUGAAACUAUCCCAAAUCAGUGUGAAAAUCAGCCCGAAAUCGUCGUCCAACUCAUUCGAUUUGAAUUGUUCGAGGUUCCAUUACUGGUUUGAGGCUCAGGUUGUUAGCUCAUUUUGGUUUGCUGCAUCAGAGACUUCCUUUCACUGUAUACGUAGCAAAUUCAGCAAUAAAGGUCCAUCUUUACUUUCGAUAUUUAUUUCGUCCAUGGCUUGAAGCUUAACGUUGUUGAGCUUACAUUAUUUGUGCAUUUUUAUGUGUUUAUGGAGAUGAUUAAUGAUGAUAGUCUAUAAUUGUGUAUUUUAGUCGCUUAUUACACUCUAAUUUACUGCACUUUAAUUGAGUUUGAGCUUUAAUCGCUAGUGUUUUGCACUAAAUAUGUGUUUUAUGCCUUGUAGGAGUAAUUCUGAGCUAUGUAGGUAUUAUGGAAUGAAUUCAAGUGAUUUGGAGCUUUGAAGUUUGAGUGAAAGCCCAAGGAAUCAAGCCGGAAUUGUGUUCGGGGAUCAAUGGAUGAUAGUUAAGAACGAAAUAGAGAAUCGAGCGGGCAUACAACGCAUUGUCUAGUAAAAUACAAUAACUUUUCAUUCAGAACUCCGUUUGGGCUCUACAGUAUAUCGACCAAGUAUAAUUGCGUGUGCGUUUGGGAGCAAUAAGUUUUUGGUGCCAUUGUCGGGGGCUUAGAAAUUAACUAGUCUACUAGAUUAGAUUUUUACUCUUUGUCUAUUCAAAUCUUUAAGUUUUUAUUUUAGUUUAAUAUUUAUUAUCUUUGUUGAUAUGGCAUCUUGGAAUGAUAAUUGGUCGAAUAUUGGUUAUUCUUAUUAUGGUGAUUCUUGUCCAUAUUGUGGAGGACCACACUUGUGGCAAAGUUGUGAAUCUUAAUCUUAUGGGUGGAAUAUUUGUAAUAUGUGUGGUGGUAAAGGUGGAGAUUGGUAUGGUUGUCCUAAUUCUUAUUAUCCUUCUCAGAGUUCUUAUUAUAAUGUUUCUAAUAAUGUUUAUGAGUUUGAUAGGAGCAAGGAAGUGUAGGAUAUGGAAAGCACGGCUCAUAUUAUGGACAUGAUGAGGCAAGUAGCCGAGCAACAUGACAUGAUGAUGAGGCAAGUAGCCGAGCAACAAGAUGAAAAUCGAAAGGCUAUACAAAGAAUUAGUACAGUAAUCAUGAGAAUGAAGGUCGAGGCGGAUGAAGUGGCUGAAGAGAGCGAAUUCCCACCAGAAGAUAAUUUAGAAGAAGCAGAUAUAGUAAGCCAAUCUUGGCUAGAGGAAUAAGCUCAACUGAUAAAAUCUCAUGAGUUUCUCUGUGAUGGUCUUUCAAAUAUGACAGAACAACUGAUAAAAGGAAGAACUGAGCUCAGGCAAGAGAUAGAUCAAUUUGGCUCAGAUAUCCAUGACCUGCAAGCUCAACUGAAUAAAAAGGUUGAGACGUCUGAUGCCAUACAACUAAUUGUUAUGGAUACUGGUCAACUAUGGAGAAAAAAGAGGAAUCCCAACUAUUCGAUCAAAUUAUUAAUGAUACCAAGGUUGACGAAGAGUGCAAAAUUGAGAAUGUCAAAAAUAAUGAUAUUUUGGAGUUGGAGCAUAUUGGACCUCAUUCUAAACACUUUUCAACAUUGUGUUUGGUUGGUGACAUGAGAAUUGAUCCAGUCGAGCAUAUGGAGGAGUCAAUGGAUGAGGAACAAAGUGUUUAUAUUCUGAAAUUUGCCACACCAAGGAGACAAAACGACAUUCCUCACUUAAAGGCCAAGAAGUACAAGAUGUGAUACCUAUUACUUGGUUCCUUUAUUUUUACACCACCGCCUCGUGAACGUGACAGAAAAAUUGAUGCCAAAUUGGGGGCGCAAUUCAUAUCUUCAAAGUGGAAGCAAAAGUGGUGAAAGUGAUGGCGUUGUGCCGCGAUGUUAAAUCAAGCGCUUGUUGGGAGGCAACCCAAUUUUCUUUUUUCUUUUUCACUUUUGCUUUUUUUUUUGUGUUAUUUCUUUUGUAGUGUUGUUUUUGUAUUUUGUAGGAGUACGAACAUGGAGUUAAAGCCAAUAGGUGAGUGCAAAAGCAAGCAUGUGUUUGAAACUGAGUGUGAGGUACCCGCACAAAGAAUCAUACCUGGGAGAAGUCUGAGUAUCCCGUGAGGUGCUAAUACUUCGGCUAUUAGCCUACCAGGGAGUCUCUUUCACCCUCGUAUUAUUUUCAGUGUGCAUUGAGGACAUUGCACAAUUUUAAGUGUGGGGUGAAGAGAUUGUCUGUGUGAUUUUCUGUGCUAUUUUAGCUUAGUUGUAGUACUCGUUCUUAGUGUAGAUUUUUUUUAAAAAAAUAAAAAAUAAAUAGAAAAUUGGAAUUUUCCCGACGAUGGAUCUCCUAGACAGUUUUCUUGAGGGAUUUAAGUCUAAAGAAAAAGGAUAAAAAGAUUUUCUUGGUAGGUAGUGUAGUAAUUCCCCCUUAGUUUUUCUUUGUGCCACGUUUCUUUUCCAAUGGUUUUGUUUGAACCAGGUAUAGUUAGUUUUUAUUUUUUAGAACUAGGAAAACUUGUGCUGAGAAUUGAAUUGAAGCAAUAUCUUUUAACUUUGUUAUGUCUUGAGAAUAGUGAGUACUUUGGUUGUGACGAUUAGGCUCAACUUUUGACUAUUGUAUAAGUACCUUAAAUCGUAUGAUCUUAAGUUUGUUUAACUUCUUUGACUAGAGUGUCUUAUUGAGUCCAAUCCUGAGUGAGUUAUGUGCCAUGUGUGUGUAAGGUUUUGUGUUAUUCUGUGCAUUGCAUUUGAUGUCUAUAACAUGCCCCGUCUGUUUGAAAUGCGAAAUAGUAGUUUUGUUCAGUCUUGGAANNNNNNNNNNNNNNNNNNNNNNNNNNNNNNNNNNNNNNNNNNNNNNNNNCUUAGGGAGGUGUAGUCACUCUUAUAUCUAAAUGUAUCCUACCCGUCCCGUAGCCUACAUUACAACCAAAUAAAGUACUACUUGAUCCUAGACCGAAUGAGCUCGAUUAGUAGAGUAAUACACUACGGGCAAGCCUAUGGUGCAUCUCUUAUGACAUAUGAAUGUUAUUUCUGAGAGUGAGUGAAUUCUUUCUAUCUUGAGUUCCUAAGUGUUCUUAAAUUUUAUUGUGUGAAACUACUCUCUUUUGUUGUAUGAGGGCACUUGAUUCAUGAAGGAAAGGUAAUUUCUAUGUCCUCUAUGUUAGAGUAAGUGGGUGAGUUAAUGCGUGAUACUUGUGAGUCAAAUAUUGAGGUGAAGAUGUUACACUCUUGUGCUUAGUCUAUUUUAAAUAUUCUUGGUGUGAUGAGUUACGAGAAUUGUUUAAAAAGGUCGUGUCUAUAUAAAGUGUAGUUUGAUUGCUCGAGGACGAGCAAUGGUUUAAGUGUGGGGUGUUGAUGAUCGACUAUAAUUGUGUAUUUUAGUCGCUUAUUACACUCUAAUUUACUGCACUUUAAUUGAGUUUGAGCUUUAAUCACUAGUAUUUUGCACUAGAUAUGUAUUUUAUGCUUUGUAGGAGUGAUUCCGAGCUAUGUAGGUAUUAUGGAAUGAAUUCAAGUGAUUUGGACCUUUGAAGUCUGAGUAAAAGCCCAAGAAAUCAAGCCGGGAUUGUGUUCGGGGAUCAAUGGAUGAUAGUUAAGAACAAAACGGAGAAUCGAGCGAUCAUACGGUGCAUUGUCUAGUAAAAUACAUAUAACUUUUCGCUCAGAAUUUUGUUUGGGCUCUACAAUAUAUCGUUGGAAAGCUAUUCGAAAGGGCUACAAUAUCAUGUUUUGCAUUUUUGCGAAUUCCCACUACCGCGUCGCACACUGUGCCGCAGCAUGCGCCGUAGUAGUGCAAUUUCACGGCAGGCAUCAGAAACAAGCCCUCUGAAGCUUCCCACUACGUGCCGCACAGUGCAACGCAACGUGCUGGGGGCCUGCACAAAUUUUACAGAGCCAAAGUCCUAUUUUGCGCAGGAAAGGGUGUUUCGUCUAGGCCCGACCCUACUUGGUAUAAAUACAUGUAAAAACACUAUUUUGAGGACUUGUAACACAUCUUAGACCUAGGGAGACUAUUUUGGAGAGAAUUGACGUAGAGGAACACACACCACACUUUGGAGGAGGCUUUUAACUAGUUUUUCUUCUCUUCUCUUCCUUUAAUUUCUUAGUUUAUUAGUUCUAGAGUUUUGGGUGCUACAUGAACGUUGUAAUUUGAAGCUUGAAUUGUUCUUAUUAUUUUAUCAUAUUGGUUUAUUUAUUCAAUCUUGCGCUUAAUUAUUUGAUUGCUUGAUCACCAAUUGAAUACUAUCUACGAAUCUAGGAUUGAACUCGGGAGAGGGAAUUCUAGAUUGCAUUUAAGAUUGAGUAGAGCAAGAUCUUAACUCUAGGGGGGGGGGGGGAUUUGCGGUUAGGAUAGGAAUAUACCUAAUCGCCUUGCUUGGUUACUAUACAAGAAUUAUUAAUGUGUUCUUGUUAAUUCUAAUUCCAUAUGAAUAUAGAUGUUAGGUUAGCUUGAAUAUGCGAGUUGUACUUCGGGAGAAGGGUACAAGCAAUAUUAACCCUGUCAACCAAUAAACCAGAUAAAUUAAUUAGACGAUUUAAGUGAAAAACUCAACAGGAUUGUUAGCUAUCCCAUAGCUCUAGAAUAUUCACUCACAUUGAAUUCGUUGUUAAGCUUGUCAUUGUUUUCUUUAAUCUCCUUAUUUGCUACUCUAGAUUAAUUUUAGUUAAAUCUUCAUACGUUAGGAUUCACUUGAAUAGAAUAAUUGUUUGGUUUAAUUUAGUUGAUAGUUAAUCACAAGUCCUUGUGGAUACGAUAUCUGGACUUACAAUCCUAUAUUACUUAUCGACCACGUAUACUUGCGUGUGCAUUUGGGAGCAACAAUUAACACAUAAACACAUAAGAUUGAUUUGCCCUAAAAUGAAAAGUUUCUAAUAAUGUGUUUAUGUUAAUGUUUAUGUGUUUACGGAGAAAGAUUAAUGUGCAUUGUUUAUGUGUUGUAUAGUCUUAAUAAAUGAAAAAGUUUGCCAUGUGGAUUAAUUUGAGGUUAAGUCAUUUGGGUUAUUGGACAUAAGAUAAAAAUCUGAUUUUGCUUUUAAGGAUAUUUGCUUGGUUUUGAUAGUAUAUGAGCUAAGAGUUGGUUCGGUUUGCUAAAUUCUAGCAGAACGUUAAUAAUUCGUUAAGUUACCUGUAGGGUGAAUAUGACUGUAUUUGCUGGAAAUUCAUGAAAGCUGAAGCUCGCACCGUUAUCUCAAUUAAUUUACUAAUGUUAAUGACUAUAAAACUUAUUGGAACAUUCAAACAUUUUAAGUGUAGACAUGUAAUUUUUGACCCGCCACGUCUUCAAGCUAUAUUAGCAGUUUCGUGUAUUUUAUAAUCUUGAAAAAUAUUAAAAAAUAGUUUCACAAUAUAAUAUUAUUUAUUUUAAUUAAUUAGAGUUAAUUAUGUAUUUUAUAGUAUAGAUUUUACAUCAUUUGUAGGAAAAGAAUUAAGAUUUUUGGGUUGGAAAAAUCCAAUUUCGGAUAGCCCAAAGUAUUUAACCCAUAACCCCUUUUAACCCCACCCUUUAAAAAAAGAAGAAGAGAUCAUCAAUACAGACUCCAAGACCUAAUUUCCUAAAAGGCGAAAUGCAUGAACGACCCCUUUAAGUUGUCUCCAACGAUCAGACGACCAUCUUAACUGAGCUCAUUUUCGGUUAGACACUUUAAGAGGCUAUAAAAUGUAUCUAAUAAAUACCGACCUAGUCAACCCACCUCGCGUGUGAUCUACUUGCUCUUGACAUGUCAAAUGAGCCAAUCAAUUAAUGACACAUGUAAUUUGAAACAAAAAAUUAUCACAUAUAAUUUAAAAAUCAGGAAAAACUAAAAAUGAAUUUCCCUUUUUUUACAAAAUGUUCACUGUCUUUCAUGGAAAAGAACAGUUCAUCCUCUUCCCCACCCCUAUUUUAUUUUUUGAUUUUUCUCCAUUUCUUCUCUCAAUAUUUUUCUUCUACAUGUUUCCAACAAGAGCUAUGCUUUAUCUUUAACAUAGAGCCUAGAAAUUUCCAGUAGGCUUCUCUCAUAAUUCUUACAUGUUUUUCUCCAACAAGUAAAAUAAAUUUUUGACACUGAACAUUUAAGAAUUAAGAUGUUAAAGAUAUGUUAGGCAGUGAACAUUUACAUGUUUCCAGGGUGCAAAUCACUUACAGGUGGCGGCGGUAAAAAUUGUUGAGACGACGGCAACGGCUGGAGGACUGACUGGACGGAAAUAAUAGAAAACAAAAAUAGAAACCCAAUAUAUCUUCAAUUUCUAUUUUGUUUCUUUUGAACCCGCCUCAUCUGGGUUCUUCACCAAUUAAGCAAUAUACUCUCCAAUUUCAGUACAAUUUGGAGCUUUAACAAAUGGGCAGCAUGAUGAACUCGGACAAAAUCACUUAUUUUUUCACUGAUUAUUGCUAGUCAACCUUGGACUUUGCUGAGGAAGGUUUGUUUGUUGUAUUGAAAUUUUUGGGGGAGGUGGAAACAAUUUCGAAGAAAAAAGGCUGGGCCGGCAAAAGAGACGGUGAGUUCGGCGUCUGCUUUAGAAAAGAGAGUGACAGAGUGAGGGUGAAGAAAAAUUAAAUGUGGUGCAGGCCCCACUUAAAAAUAAUUUAAACUGAUAAUUAAAAACAAAAUUGUAACAGAAAUCCUCACGAGCUCGAUUUUAAUUGAGACACAACUGAAUUGCCCUGUCAGGGCGAGAUGUUUACAAGAUACAACUGAAUUGCCGUUUAUAUAUUUCACCUUCCUAAAAGCUGGAGAAGCAACCGAACACACCCCUGAAAACGGCCGCUAGGGACCUUCUUCUCGAUAAAAAAUUCAACAGCGACAGAACCCUAGAGACGUAAGGACCCCCCAGCCGUCACUCCCCUAUCUCCCAAACCCUCUGUCGCCCUCAACACCA
rnacentral:lncRNA from 1 species